ensembl:lncRNA LINC02198 long intergenic non-protein coding RNA 2198
UUUUGAGCAGCAAGUCCCAAGAUCAAGAAAUCAGAAGGAACUAAUACUUUAACUAAUUAGUAGUAAUGAAAAUUUACUAGACAUCAAUGACAAAUUUACAAGGCAAAUUUAUUUCCAAAGUACAUUCAUAUAUAUCACAGUCUUUGCUACAGCAGUGUGUUCCUCUCAAGUCACCCACUCGUUCCUCCAGGGGUCAUUGGAGAGUUAUUAUUUUAAGUCUAGUUCCCAGGUAUGACUUCCAAUGCAGUGAAAGCUUCUACUGAGACUGUCUAAAACAUCUCUUGAAUCAUCUGCCUAGAACACAGCAAGAACCAGGAAAUGAGCUGACAAGACUGAGCAAAAGAGGCAGCAUCAAGCUGAUGAACUGAGGCGUGGGCAUUUUACUCAUGGGAAAGGCCCUCGGAACCCACGCUGAGCAUGCGCUGAAAACAAGUGUGAUCAGUGGGUUCCAAACACCCAGCAGAUACAUGUGAGGGUGAUCUGGCUGUGACUUCUGUCACCCCCUUGAUUACCAGGGUUGAUUCAG